CAAAGGGUAAUUUAAGUAAAAUUUUAAUUUUGGAGGUUAAAAAUAAGUAUAAACUUUCCUUUGA
rnacentral:tRNA from 1 species